rnacentral:rRNA from 1 species
ACGUAGGGUGCAAGCGUUAAUCGGAAUUACUGGGCGUAAAGCGCACGCAGGCGGUUUGUUAAGUCAGAUGUGAAAUCCCCGGGCUCAACCUGGGAACUGCAUCUGAUACUGGCUAGCUUGAGUAUCGUAGAGGGGGGUAGAAUUCCAGGUGUAGCAGUGAAAUGCGUAGAGAUCCGGAGGAACACCGAUGGCGAAGGCGACCCACUGGGCCUAGACUGACGCUCAUGCGCGAAAGCGUGGGGAGCAAACAG